rnacentral:rRNA from 1 species
AUAAAAAACCAACGCCCUUCGGGGCUCCUUGGUGAAUCAUAAUAACUUAACGAAUCGCAUGGCCUUGCGCCGGCGAUGGUUCAUUCAAAUUUCUGCCCUAUCAACUUUCGAUGGUAGGAUAGUGGCCUACCAUGGUGGCAACGGGUAACGGGGAAUUAGGGUUCGAUUCCGGAGAGGGAGCCUGAGAAACGGCUACCACAUCCAAGGAAGGCAGCAGGCGCGCAGAUUACCCAAUCCCGAUACGGGGAGGUAGUGACAAUAAAUACUGAUACGGGGCUCUUUUGGGUCUCGUAAUUGGAAUGAGAACAAUUUAAAUCCCUUAACGAGGAACAAUUGGAGGGCAAGUCUGGUGCCAGCAGCCGCGGUAAUUCCAGCUCCAAUAGCGUAUAUUAAAGUUGUUGCAGUUAAAAAGCUCGUAGUUGAACCUUGGGUCUGGCUGGCCGGUCCGCCUCACCGCGAGUACUGGUCCGGCUGGACCUUUCCUUCUGGGGAACCCCAUGGCCUUCACUGGCUGUGG